rnacentral:rRNA from 1 species
UGAGGAAUAUUGGUCAAUGGACGAGAGUCUGAACCAGCCAAGUAGCGUGAAGGAUGACUGCCCUAUGGGUUGUAAACUUCUUUUAUACGGGAAUAAAGUGAGGCACGUGUGCCUUUUUGUAUGUACCGUAUGAAUAAGGAUCGGCUAACUCCGUGCCAGCAGCCGCGGUAAUACGGAGGAUCCGAGCGUUAUCCGGAUUUAUUGGGUUUAAAGGGAGCGUAGGCGGACGCUUAAGUCAGUUGUGAAAGUUUGCGGCUCAACCGUAAAAUUGCAGUUGAUACUGGGUGUCUUGAGUACAGUAGAGGCAGGCGGAAUUCGUGGUGUAGCGGUGAAAUGCUUAGAUAUCACGAAGAACUCCGAUUGCGAAGGCAGCUUGCUGGACUGUAACUGACGCUGAUGCUCGAAAGUGUGGGUAUCAAACAGGAUUAGAUACCCUGGUAGUCCACACAGUAAACGAUGAAUACUCGCUGUUUGCGAUAUACAGUAAGCGGCCAGGCGAAAGCGUUAAGUAUUCCACCUGGGGAGUACGCCGGCAACGGUGAAACUCAAAGGAAUUGACGGGGGCCCGCACAAGCGGAGGAACAUGUGGUUUAAUUCGAUGAUACGCGAGGAACCUUACCCGGGCUUGAAUUGCAACUGAAUGAUGUGGAGACAUGUCAGCCGCAAGGCAGUUGUGAAGGUGCUGCAUGGUUGUCGUCAGCUCGUGCCGUGAGGUGUCGGCUUAAGUGCCAUAACGAGCGCAACCCUUAUCGAUAGUUACCAUCAGGUUAUGCUGGGGACUCUGUCGAGACUGCCGUCGUAAGAUGUGAGGAAGGUGGGGAUGACGUCAAAUCAGCACGGCCCUUACGUCCGGGGCUACACACGUGUUACAAUGGGGGGUACAGAAGGCAGCUACACGGCGACGUGAUGCUAAUCCCGAAAGCCUCUCUCAGUUCGGAUUGGAGUCUGCAACCCGACUCCAUGAAGCUGGAUUCGCUAGUAAUCGCGCAUCAGCCACGGCGCGGUGAAUACGUUCCC